CACGCGAGCGUCCAUUGGAGAGGCGAUCGGCGGCGCGCAUAAUCCCGGUUGUCGUCCCGAAGGACGCAGUCGUUCUGGCCAAUGCAUGGUACUUGGCGAUAUCUCCUGCAUCGAUGCAGCCCCUGUGUAGCCCACGGCCGCACCUUUGCGUCUCUAGUAGCGAGGAGAUGUUGGGGAAGAAGCACCAUGGUGACGACGAUGGCAACAGGGUUGCUGCAGGCACAACUCCGCGGUGGCCGGUGGUGGAGAUGGCCUUCACGUACCUCAGCACAUAUUCAGGAUCGGCAGUUAGGUGGGUUUAGAUCUUGGUUUUGUUAUCCAUAAUGAAAACCCCCUUUUCCUUA